ACUGCUCAGUAACACGUGGACAACCUACCCUUAGGUCGGGGAUAAACCCGGGAAACUGGGUAUAAUACCCGAUAGAUCUCGACUGCUGGAAUGCAUCGAGAUCGAAAGCUCCGGCGCCUAAGGAUGGGUCUGCGGCCUAUCAGGUAGUAGUGGGUGUAGCGUACCUACUAGCCUACGACGGGUACGGGUUGUGAGAGCAAGAGCCCGGAGAUGGAUUCUGAGACACGAAUCCAGGCCCUACGGGGUGCAGCAGGCGCGAAAACUUUACAAUGCUGGAAACAGCGAUAAGGGGACCUCGAGUGCCAGGUUACAAAUCUGGCUGUCGUGAUGCCUAAAAAGCAUUGCAUAGCAAGGGCCGGGCAAGACCGGUGCCAGCCGCCGCGGUAACACCGGCGGCUCGAGUGGUAACCGUUAUUAUUGGGUCUAAAGGGUCUGUAGCCGGCCGGAUAAGUCUCUUGGGAAAUCCAGCAGCUCAACUGUUGGGCUUUCAGGAGAUACUGUCUGGCUCGAGGCCGGGAGAGGUGAGAGGUACUUCAGGGGUAGGGGUGAAAUCUUGUAAUCCUUGAAGGACCACCAGUGGCGAAGGCGUCUCACCAGAACGGACCUGACGGCAAGGGACGAAAGCUAGGGGCACGAACCGGAUUAGAUACCCGGGUAGUCCUAGCCGUAAACGAUACUCGCUAGGUGUCGGCCACGGUGCGACCGUGGUCGGUGCCGUAGGGAAGCCGUGAAGCGAGCCACCUGGGAAGUACGGCCGCAAGGCUGAAACUUAAAGGAAUUGGCGGGGGAGCA
rnacentral:rRNA from 1 species